rnacentral:rRNA from 1 species
GAUGAACGCUGGCGGCGUGCUUAACACAUGCAAGUCGAACGAUGAUGCCCAGCUUGCUGGGUGGAUUAGUGGCGAACGGGUGAGUAACACGUGAGUAACCUGCCCUUGACUCUGGGAUAAGCCUGGGAAACUGGGUCUAAUACCGGAUACGACCAUCUGGCGCAUGUCAUGGUGGUGGAAAGCUUUUGUGGUUUUGGAUGGACUCGCGGCCUAUCAGCUUGUUGGUGGGGUAAUGGCCUACCAAGGCGACGACGGGUAGCCGGCCUGAGAGGGUGACCGGCCACACUGGGACUGAGACACGGCCCAGACUCCUACGGGAGGCAGCAGUGGGGAAUAUUGCACAAUGGGCGCAAGCCUGAUGCAGCGGCGCCGCGUGAGGGAUGACGGCCUUCGGGUUGUAAACCUCUUUCAGUAGGGAAGAAGCGAAAGUGACGGUACCUGCAGAAGAAGCGCCGGCUAACUACGUG